GCGAAUAUCAUUACUUCUAUCAAUAUUGGAACGAUAAAUAAGAGAUUAGCAUGCCCCCUGAGCAUGGAUGACACGCAUAAAUCGAGAAAUGGUCCAAAUUUCU